UAUAAAAAUAUCUCCCGCUCUCACCCUCUCCCUCUGUGUCUGAAAUUUUUUUGGGUGCAACCGUCCAUCUCUUCUCCACAUGCCCUUCAUCAAUCUGCAAUCUCUAACAAAUUCACAAUGUCUUUUCUUCUCAACUCUCACGAUUUCUGAACUUUGUCACCAACAGUCAACUCUCCCUCUCUCUCAGCCGCAUUCUCAUGCUUUUGCUGUCAUGUUCUUGUUCUCAUUCUCAAUCGAUUGAUCUUUCACUCUCACCCUCACUCUAUCUCAAACAAUCAGAUGAGGAUCGAGAUCAUGAGAAUCCACUCUCCAAUCCUGAUCUUCUUUACUCACAUCUCAGACGAUCUUGAUGUGGCGAACUCGAUUAAAAGAUCUCACAUCUCAGUCUUCUUGGACGAUCAUAAGGUCUAAGUUUAAGAAUUUCAAGCAUACUACUUCAUUUCCUGAUUUUCCAUAACGUCCACAACACCGCGUACAAAAUUGCAUCCCCAAAGGAUUUUCACCAAGUUGGAAUAGUUAUUUAUACGCUUCGACCAAACUCUCCAAGCAAGAUCACAAUGAAGUAACAAAUGCUUGGUUGUUUCCUCAUUUGACUUACAGAACACACAUUUUACAGCAGCCUGAUCCAUUCUUUCAUGGCAAAUACAAGAAGGUAUCCAAACAAGCAUAGCAAGAUGGAGCAACAUCAGAAUAGCAGAGUUAGUAACCUUAUAACUUAAAAUUAAAAAAGAUUGAAUCUUUAAUUUCCAACAGCAUAUCCCUCAAUGGGUUAUUUGGAAGUUAAAUUAGUGACAAUAUCGAAGCAAAAUUUUGACAUGUUACUUAUUAAAUGGCAAAAUAUCAUUAUCUCAAUUUUAUUCAGAAAAAAUCAAAUAUAAAUGUCAAUUUGUGGGUUGUGUCAUUUUGAAGAACCGCUAUCAAAUUUUGACUUUAACAUGAAGAAUAGUGCACCAUUGAAGAGCAGAUUAGUUGGGCAACCCACUUGAAAGAUGAAUAGUAGCUCACCCAUAAUUAAGCCACUUCUACCGAGCAACAAUAUAUUGUAAUUCAUAUCAUCUUGGACUCACUACAACAAAAUGCACCUUCCCUCAAUAUGCAUUCAUUGCAUUUUGAGUUAGCUCAUCACUAAUAGUUGUUUUGCAGCCAUAAUUUCUGCAAAUAUAAAGCUUGUGUAUUUGAGAAGGAGUUUAGUUCAGGAUCUUUUGACAGACCCUGAAACUUUUGAAAGUAAAGUGUUGUGAAGUUUUGUGAAAGUCAAAUCUGAUCCAAAUGACUACUUCCAACAAAAUUCUCACCAACUUCUGCAAGUUACAGUGCACCAUCUCCUCUUUAUUGGCUUCAACAGCAGCUAUGCAGGUAGAGGAAUAUAGCCUUAGUUCCCAUCUCAUACAAAUGAAACAAUCUUUAAAGAGUGGUCAACAGCUAAUGAUCGGGAAUCGGAACUACUUCAUGACUGCACAGAUGCUAAGCUAAUAACAUUUUGCUUUGCCUCUUCACCAAAGACAAAUAAUAACACUAUCUGCGUUCAGUGAAGCUUUGUACAUCUCUGCAUUUUGUGGUUUCUAGGAUUGAACAGAUUUUUUGGGAUCAUCUUCUUGUGAAUUUUGGAUUCAGCAUUACGAGUACAUGACUCAGAAAAAUGGAUGUCUGCACUGUUCUAACAGAACUUGGAAGCUCUAUGGGCUGAUUUUCUAUGGGGUGAAUUUCUCAUCUGUUUUGCUUUGCUGCUGGUGGCUGUCCAGUGUUGGCUUUGCUCUGCCCUGGUUUUGCUCUGCUCCUGUGAAAUUGGUCACCUACAAGAAGGGACUAUCACUCCGCCACAGCACUGUAAUCAGUCCGGAGAUCAGUCUUAGUCUAGCAUAGCAGCUAUUUUUGUCAACCCGCGGUGUCCGAUCAAUUCAAUGAAGUUUAUUCAUUUUUGUAGACUUUCUUUCAUGGCUCAUAGUGUUGGUCACUAGCUCUUUUGUCAAUUGUCGAUAAUCAUGUAUAACUUCCACCCUUGGAUGUUUUAGUUAUACCCUCAGUAAUGGGGUUGGGUUGUAUAUAUUAACAUGUAUAUAGUUGCCACCCAUGUACAUGUUUCAUUAUGCGUUGGGUAUUGUGAUGAAUUGUUUUGUGAUCCUGGCAAUUAAACACUGGCUCGAUGGAUGACAUUUUAGAUUAAUAAUUGCUUCCGUUCAGGCCCCGUACCAUAUACGGUAUUCAUGCUAUAUGAUUGUCUAGUUUUGGGACUCAUUGCGGGUCAGUCAUUAGGGCUGAGCAAGGAAUCCGUAAAUCCAUAAUCUGAUCCGAUCUAGUCCAAUCCGAUAGGUUUGGAUUGGUUUUUUGAAUCCGUGGUUUGGUUUCGGAUUGAAAAUUUCAAAAUUCGUAGGCCACAGAUCGGUUCCGGAUUGAACCCCACGGUUCUGGAUUGGAACCAAUCCGGACCAUCUAGAAAUAAUCUAUAUUUAUACUAUGUACCUUCCCACACAAUAUAAUUUCUUGUCUCCUAUAAAAACUAAAAUGUAACCUAAUUCACGCCUCACUCAUUCACGCCUUAUUCAGUUCAUUGUCUCUCACUCUCAUCUCAUCUAUCUCUCUGUCGAUGGUGUCUCUCUCUCUCUUCUCUUUCUCAUCUCACACUCUCAUCCAUCUCAGAUCAGAUUGAUGUGCUGCCCGUCUCUCUCUCUGGGUGAGGUGUCUCUUUCUCUCUCUCUCUCUCGGUGACACUAUUUUUGUUCCUUUGUUCCCAGAUCAUCCAUCGGUGUGCUCCUCCUCUCUCUCUUUCAUGUCAUCUACAAUGGAUUCGGUAAAUGUAAGUAAGAGAAUUUAUUUUUAUUUUUUAUGUUUUCUAUUUUUAUCCUUCUAUUUUCUUCUUUCCUCUGUUUUGGGUGGUGAUGGUGUUUUUUCUUGAGAAAAAGUUGAGAGCUUUAUUGGAAUAUGUUCUUUUCUUGAUGUAACUGUUCAUGGAUUUCUUGCUUUUGGUUUAUGGGUUUUUGCUUUUUCUGGGUUUAAGGUUCUAUUGGCAAUUUUGCAAUUUUAUGUGUACUUCAGCUCAAGCUGGGUCUCUGGGUUCAUGUAGUUGUUUGAUUCUUAAGCUGUGUUUUAAGUUUUGAUAAUCCUAAACUGACACUUCUGGGUUCUGGGUUUUGGAAAUAUUUUCUUUAUUCCAGCUAAUUCUAGGAUUUGGAUUUGUGGGCUUGUUCUUGGUGUUGAGUUUUGAGUUCCAAGAAUCAUAGCAUUCUAAAAUUUAUAAUCAAUUUUGUGGAAUUUUCGUACUAUUAGGAGAGCAAGAGUUUUGAAGUACUAAGAUAAAUGAAUUUCAAUAAUCAAUUUUGCAUUUCAGUUUUGCAAUUUGGCUUUGAAUAUCAGUCUUGGGUGUUACUAAGAUCUUGUUUGAAUUUCAGUCUCGGGUAUUGUUUGAAUUGAUAAAUGAAUUGACUUGUGUAUAUAUGUAUUAAUUAUUUAAAUCCGUGAUCCUAAACCGAUUCAAUCCGUGUUUCAAUGGAUUGGUUCGGAUUGGUUCCACAAUUUAAACGGAUUGGAUUGGUUUUAAUUUUUCAGGAACCGUAGAUAACGGAUUGGUCUUAGUUUUCUUUCAAUCCGGACCAAUCCGGACCAUUCUCACUCCUAUCAGUCAUGCCCAAACUUUUAUGGGCGAGUUAGGGGCGUGACAAUUAUUGAUAAUGGAUUUAGAUGAUAAUUGAUAGAUAUAUUAUUCUGUAUAUGUACAGGUUACAGGUUGCAUUGAUAAUGGAUAAUGCAUAUAAUUUAGAAAUUAAUGAAAAAUAUUCAAUUUAUGCAUUUUUAAAAAUUUAAUAAAUAGAGCUUUUAGCGACUAAAUAUUUAGUAGUCAAAAAAUAAAUAGGGAACUUGUUGGCGACUAAAUAGUUAGUAGUCAAAAAAAAUGAAAGUUUUUGGCGA